rnacentral:rRNA from 1 species
GCUUGAGCACGUAGGUGGGUUUGUAAGUCAGAUGUGAAAGCCUUCUGUUCAACGGAAGGAUUGCAUCUGAAACUGCAAGUCUUGAGUGUAGGAGGGGAGAAUGGAACUUCUGGUGGAGCGGUGAAAUGCGUAGAUAUCAGAAGGAACGCCGGCGGCGAAAGCGAUUCUCUGGCCUAUUACUGACACUCAGUGUGCGAAAGCUAGGGGAGCAAACGGGAUUAGAUACCCCGGUAGUCCUAGCCGUAAACGAUGGGCACUAAGUAGAGGGAAUUACCGAUGUUCUCUCUGCCGUAGCUAACGCAUUAAGUGCCCCGCCUGGGGAGUACGGCCGCAAGGCUAAAACUCAAAAGAAUUGACGGGGGCUCGCACAAGCGGUGGAGCAUGUGGCUUAAUUCGAUGCAACGCGAAAAACCUUACCGGGGCUUGACAUGGUAGAAGUAGGAACCCGAAAGGGUAACGAACGGUAUCCAGUCCGUAACUAUUACAGGUGUUGCAUGGCUGUCGUCAGCUCGUGUCGUGAGACGUUGGGUUAAGUCCCCUAACGAGCGAAACCCUUAUUUUUAGUUACCAGCGGGUUAUGCCGGGUACUCUAGAAAGACUGCCGUCGUCAAGACGGAGGAAGGUGGGGAUGACGUCAAGUCAUCAUGGCCCUUAUGCCCCGGGCUGCACACGUGCUACAAUGGUCGGUACAAACGGAUGCGAAGCCGAGAGGUGAAGCGAAUCCAAGC